UCCAGCUUCAGAGAUGGGACCCUGUGGUUACACUGUGACCACCCAGAUAAUCCGGAAGAGCCUCCUCCUUUAAGACCAGCUGAUAAGCAACUUCAGUUCCACCUGCCGCCUUGCAUUUCCUUACGUGGUCUCGGGUGGAAGGAGGCUCUUCAGGAGAACUCGAGGAGCUGUAUUCUGCAUCUAGUGGAGGUGUAGACAGUGAGAGACAACCCAGACGGCUGACCCAGGCGACGGGCAGGGGCUGAUGUGCACAUGGAAAAAUCUAGAAGGAGGAUCCCAAGGCACUGUGCCCAGACUCGGAGUAGCUGCAGGGCCAGCGCCUGACUCUGCAGACGUGGGAAGGGUUUCCAGGAUCCCAUAGAAGAGCCUCCCCAUCCGCUUCCCACGGCCUGAACUUUCCAUAAUUCUUUAAAAAUAAGCAGGUCAUAUGGUUUCACUUAUUUGUGGAGCAUAACCAAUAGCAUGGAGGA